AUUCAUCUGAAGAGUCCUAAAUAGGACGAAAAGUGCAUCAAACUAGAU
rfam:Schistosoma mattheei strain Denwood, Zambia genome assembly, scaffold: SMTD_scaffold0007677